CGAGAGGCAAGAGGGCUUAGGACCAGCCGCUUCUUCCACUUGUAGAGAAAGAGAAACUGCGGUGGCGGGAAAAGACCCCUCCCUUUCGGGGGACAGUGGGUGACGCUGUGUCAAUGCUCUGACGACUGGACACUAGUUUUCGCCCAGAAGGAUAUCAAUGGAUAUUAUAAAGGGAAACUUAGAUGGAAUUUCAAAACCAGCCUCAAAUUCAAGGACACGUCCUGGGAGCCAAAGUUCAAAUGCUUCUUUGGAGGUGCUCUCACCAGAACCAGCAUCCUUCAAGGCAGAUUCCAUACUCCUGAGCCACCAGGGAAGCCCAGUCACACCACCUUAUCCAAAAUCCAGAGAUCUGAAAGCUGCUGCUGUUGCUGCCUCUGAUAUUCUACACAUCUCUCAGAACCAGAAAACUGGUGGCUAGACAUGCAGAGGUUGAUACUGCAGUCAAUUUGAACUCUGAUAAAGAAGCCCACUCAGAAAGCAAUAAUGCAGAGAAAAGUAGAAACAGUAAUGAUAAUAAAGGGGAAAGCUACUCUGAGAAAAUAAAAUUGCCUGAAGAGGGGUCAGAUGAAGAUUCAAACUUGGGUCAACAUCAGAUAGUCCCUGAAUGUUCAGGUAGGAUAAUUACUUGGUAAUUAGCUAAUGAUAAUUACAGAUGCUAUAGUUAA